UGUGGGAUUAGACUCACUGAGUAAACUAGUUACUCAUGACUCAUUUGUGAUGCAGGUAACCAAUAGGUGGGAGACCUAACUCUAGGACGGGAAGGAACAUCAUUAGCCAGCGGUAGUUUUAUUAUCCUUGCAAAGGCGUUUUGAUAUUUCUUAUUAUAAGAUUUAUUGACCGAAAACCUCGAGGUUAAUUUAUAACAAAUUUUGUAAGAUGCUUUUGAUUGAUAUAUAAAGAAUGUUUUUUUUU
rnacentral:lncRNA from 1 species